GGGAAAUCUGAACAACUACGAACGUCUGCGAAAUUCCUAGUUCUCCCUUACAAGGAGGGGGUCGCUGGUUCGACUCCAGCAUCUCCCA
rnacentral:tRNA from 1 species